GAGAGCGGGAGGUACCAACUCCCGGUGGAAAAACCUGAAAGUAUGCUUUGAUUCGCCCAAGUUUUCCUGAAGCUUAGCAGAACGUGUAGUCCUAUUGCAUCCUGCCGCGAGUCUGAACGGGAGUCACCGGGAGUACUGUGUCUUGCCGGAAAUCCUCUCCGGUAAAAUAGGCACCUGUCCAAGAAAAUAGAACACACCCACAAAAAGCAGGGGAGAGAAUAAAAAGAAAAGAGCAUGAGUUGCCGGAAAAAUUUCCGGCGAAAAGCAAGAAUUCCAGACCUCUAAACAGCAACAAGAUCUGCUGUGAAUAAGCAGUGAGAAGAAGGAGAUGAGGUGGCUAAGUGAACAGUAGAGAAUGAAAGUGACCAGGGGAAUAUUCCGGGAGUACCAAGUUGGUCGGAAUUGUGGGGGGAAAAAACUGUCUAAAAGGAGCCGGGGGAAAAAGUGACGGGAAGUACAUUCACGCGCGCGGCGCGUGGCUGGCAGUGGCGGCGUGUGGGUGGGCAGUGGCGGCGCGUGGGGAAGAUUCCGGUGACGGAAUUUGCAGGGGGUGUGCGCCUGACGCUGUGUGUCUCGAUGGUGUGGGAGGUGACAAAGAGAGACUACCGUGAGAGACCACUGUAGGCUAUUGACGGAACAGUGUUCCGAGCAGCGAGAGAGAGAGAGAGGUACUUACCUGAUGGUUCCGGCGACUCGCCAGAAGGUGGUGGUGCCGAGGGUGUUAGCCUGAGGGAGAAUUCGAAGAGAGAGAG
rnacentral:lncRNA from 1 species